UGGGGAAUAUUGCACAAUGGGCGAAAGCCUGAUGCAGCAACGCCACGUGAGUGAUGAAGGUCUUCGGAUUGUAAAGCUCUGUCUUUUGGGACGAUAAUGACGGUACCAAAGGAGGAAGCCACGGCUAACUACGUGCCAGCAGCCGCGGUAAUAUGUAGGUGGCGAGCGUUGUCCGGAUUUACUGGGCGUAAAGGGUGCGUAGGCGGAUGUUUAAGUGAGAUGU
rnacentral:rRNA from 1 species